rnacentral:rRNA from 1 species
UACGUAGGGCGCAAGCGUUGUCCGGAAUUAUUGGGCGUAAAGAGCUUGUAGGUGGUUUGUCGCGUCUGCUGUGAAAAUCCGAGGCUCAACCUUGGACUUGCAGUGGGUACGGGCAGACUAGAGUGUGGUAGGGGAGACUGGAAUUCCUGGUGUAGCGGUGGAAUGCGCAGAUAUCAGGAGGAACACCGAUGGCGAAGGCAGGUCUCUGGGCCAUUACUGACACUGAGAAGCGAAAGCAUGGGGAGCGAACAGG